rnacentral:rRNA from 1 species
GACGAACGCUGGCGGCGUGCUUAACACAUGCAAGUCGAACGGUGAAGGGGUCUGCUUUUGUGGGCCCUGGAUGAGUGGCGAACGGGUGAGUAACACGUGAGUAACCUGCCCCCUUCUUCUGGAUAACCGCAUGAAAGUGUGGCUAAUACGGGAUAUUCUGGGUCUGUCGCAUGAUGGGUCUGGGAAAGAUUGCGCCUUUGGGUGUUUUUGGUGGGGGAUGGGCUCGCGGCCUAUCAGCUUGUUGGUGGGGUGAUGGCCUACCAAGGCGGUGACGGGUAGCCGGCCUGAGAGGGUGGACGGUCACACUGGGACUGAGACACGGCCCAGACUCCUACGGGAGGCAGCAGUGGGGAAUAUUGCACAAUGGGCGCAAGCCUGGUGCAGCGACGCCGCGUGAGGGAUGGAGGCCUUCGGGUUGUAAACCUCUUUCGCCAGUGAAGCAGGCCUGCUCCUUGUGGGUGGGUUGACGGUAGCUGGAUAAGAAGCGCCGGCUAACUACGUG